rnacentral:hammerhead_ribozyme from 1 species
AUCCAGCUGACGAGUUACCACAUAGAAUGAAACUCGAGUCCUCGAU